GAGGAUUCUGGGAAAUGUAGUAAAGAAGUGGUGAUCCAGGCAGGAAGUGACAUAGCAGGGAGACUCACAUAUAAGCAAGGCCAGGAAGGAAGUCAUUCCCUUUUCUCUUCCUCCUGGUCUCUGCCCUGGAGUUGCCAUGUGAUCCAGCAGCAAGAGAGGGAGCCAGAAGGACAUCCUCCUGAGAAUGAGUGUUGUGCUCAUAUGUUCCAAGAUGAGACACCCAGAUAAGAAAACUGCUUGAUGCUGAAUCACAUGGAUGCUGGAAAUAUUUGUUCAGUAUAUGCAGAAGGAUGAGAUGAUUACUGCUGGAAGAGGAACACUUAUGAUACCCCUGGAGAACAGCAUGUGACACAUCUGAG
rnacentral:lncRNA from 1 species